GGUGAGAUGGCCGAGUUGGUUAUGGCGCCAGGUUAAGGUUUCCCUUAAUAUCGCGGAUUUAUCUGCUUCCUGGUCACGAAAGUGGCGUGGGUUCGAGUCCCACUCUCAUCA